rnacentral:rRNA from 1 species
UACGGGGGGAGCAAGCGUUGUUCGGAUUUACUGGACGUAAAGGGCGGGUAGGCGGCCACCGCAAGUCAGUUGUGAAAUCUCUGGGCUUAACCCAGAAAGGUCAACUGAUACUGCGGGGCUAGAGUGCAGAAGGGGCAACUGGAAUUCUCGGUGUAGCGGUGAAAUGCGUAGAUAUCGAGAGGAACACCUGCGGCGAAGGCGGGUUGCUGGGCUGACACUGACGCUGAACUGCGAAAGCUAGGGGAGCGAACGGG